AUCUCGCCACCCCGGGGAGGGAUGAGAAGCCUCGACCAGGGUUCGACAGGCGGUUUACCGCCUGGACGGCAGGGCCGCUUGCGGACAUGCCGCCCGAAGGGUGAGGCCCGGCGGGCCGAAUCAAUCCCUCCCUCACCGCCA
rnacentral:sRNA from 1 species